UGAAUACGAGAUGCUACGGCGUCGAAGCAGUCUAUGUCAUACUUCCAAGAAAAGCUCGCACUGUCAUAAACAAAUAAUGCCUGUACCAUAACCGACACAGGUGGGUAGGUAGAGUAUACUAAGGGGCGCGAGAUAACUCUCUCUAAGGAACUCGGCAAAAUGACUCCGUAACUUCGGGAGAAGGAGUGCCUUAUUUAUAAGGUUGCAAUAACAAGAUCCAAGCAACUGUUUAUCAAAAACACAGGUCUCCGCUAAGUCGUAAGACGAUGUAUGGGGGCUGACGCCUGCCCAGUGCCAGAAGGUUAAAGAAGUUGGUUAGCAUUCGCGAAGCUGAUAACUGAAGCCCUGGUGAACGGCGGCCGUAACAAUAACGGUCCUAAGGUAGCGAAAUUCCUUGUCGGGUAAGUUCCGACCCGCACGAAAGGCGUAAUGAUUUGGAUACUGUCUCGGAGAGGGGCUCGGUGAAAUAGACUUGUCUGUGAAGAUGCGGACUACCUGCACCAGGACAGAAAGACCCUAUGAAGCUUUACUGUAACUUGAGAUUGAAAUUGGACUUUACUUGCGCAGUAUAGGUGGGAGGCGUUGAUAAUAUUCUUGCGGGAUUAUUUGAGCCAUCAGUGAGAUACCACUCUUGUAAUGUUAGAUUUCUAACUUUGUAUCAUUAUCUGGUCAAAGGACAGUUUCAGGCGGGCAGUUUGACUGGGGCGGUCGCCUCCUAAACGGUAACGGAGGCGCACAAAGGUUUCCUCUGAACGGGUAGAAAUCGUAUCUAGAGUGUAAAGGCAUAAGGAAGCUUGACUGUGAGACCUACAAGUCGAGCAGGGACGAAAGUCGGUCUUAGUGAUCUGACGGUGCUGAGUGGAAAGGCCGUCACUCAACGGAUAAAAGUUACUCUAGGAUAACAGGCUGAUCUCCCCCAAGAGUUCACAUCGACGGGGAGGUUUGGCACCUCGAUGUCGGCUCAUCGCAUCCUGGGGCGGUAUUACGUCCCAAGGGUUGGGCUGUUCGCCCAUGAAAGCGGUACGCGAGCUGGGUUCAGAACGUCGUGAGACAGUUCGGUCCAUAUCCGGUGUAGGCGUUAGAAUAUUGAGAGGAGCCUUCUUUAGUACGAGAGGACCGAGAAGGACAUACCUCUGGUGUACCAGUUAUCGUGCCAACGGUAAACGCUGGGUAGCUAUGUAUGGAGUGGAUAACCGCUGAAAGCAUCUAAGUGGGAAGCCCACCUCAAGAUAAGUAUUC
rnacentral:rRNA from 1 species